UAGGGAAUCUUCCGCAAUGGGCGAAAGCCUGACGGAGCAACGCCGCGUGAGUGAUGAAGGUCUUCGGAUCGUAAAACUCUGUUAUUAGGGAAGAACAAAUGUGUAAGUAACUAUGCACAUCUUGACGGUACCUAAUCAGAAAGCCACGGCUAACUACGUGCCAGCAGCCGCGGUAAUACGUAGGUGGCAAGCGUUAUCCGGAAUUAUUGGGCGUAAAGCGCGCGUAGGCGGUUUUUUAAGUCUGAUGUGAAAGCCCACGGCUCAACCGUGAAGGGUCAUUGGAAACUGGAAAACGUGAGUGCAGAAGAGGAAAGUGGAAUUCCAUGUGUAGCGGUGAAAUGCGCAGAGAUAUGGAGGAACACCAGUGGCGAAGGCGACUUUCUGGUCUGUAACUGACGCUGAUGUGCGAAAGCGUGGGGAUCAAACAGG
rnacentral:rRNA from 1 species